GCUUCAUGAUGAAUUACAAACGUUGUCUGUUGUGUGUCAGGAGGUGUACAAGACAAAUUUGAGCCAAGUGGUCUCAGACACGGGACGAACACAAACUACUGACCAUAUGGUGGUACUUGACUGAACUAUUUGUGAACACGUUAUUGUUUAAUUUCAUAUAUGCCUUCUUAAAAAAAGGGAUAUGGCUGAAUGCAAUCAGGAUUUCCGCAGUGGAUAAAUAUUUACCACCCAGAUAAACAAGUGAGAUGAAUGAGGGAUCUCAGGAUGAGGAGAGCUGCAAUUGUUGGUACAAUUUCUUAAACAAUACGCUUCAUGAAAGGUGGUUGUUGAAAUUGACGUCAUUGUGUCACGAGGCUUUCCAUCGGGGGAAGUGACAUUGCAACAUUUUGAAGCUCAAACGUAAUGUGACACGCCGUUUCAUUUCAGGGCUGCAAAUCGAAGACGUACAUGUCCAGUAAUAUUCGCUAUUUCCCAACAAGCGGCGGUGUGAUGACCCUGGAGCUGCCAUAUACGAGACCAGCAACAUCCAUCUAUCAUCAUCCGAGCUGCUUAUCCUCGCGAGGGUCGCCGGCGUGCUGGAACCUAUCCCAGCCGUCUUCGGGCAGUAGGCAGGAUAUACCCUGAACUAACAACCAUUCGCGCUCGGGGCAAUUGAGAGCGUUCAAUCAGCCUGCCACGCCUGAUUUUGGAAUGUGGGAGGAAACCAGAGUACCUGGAGAAAACCCACGAAGGUACGGGGAGAAGAUGCAAACUCCACACAGGAAGACCAGAGCCUGGAAUCGAACCCUGCACCUCUGCACUGUGCGGCAGACAUGCUAACCAGUCGACCUCCGUGCUGCCAACCAGCAAGAACAAGAAAAUAUUCGAUAAAACAGCAGAUAAAACUGUGGCAGCAUCUGUUCGCAGCAUGCAUCUUUAUUUUUGGCACUUUAAAACAGUACCCACAGCUGCUAGAAUCAUCUCCUCAAAGAAAACUGAUUGAUGCAUUUUUUUUUCUCUUUUGGGGUAGAGGAGAAUAUGAGGAUCAAAACAUAGUGUUUGAAGACGAAUGUCAAAAUUGUUGCCCGAUACUCCUUUUUUUAUGUCAAGAAAUUUUAUUUCUGAUCAUAUUCGAGUGAUAUAUUACAGUGGAUGGGAACAAAAUCUUCACUACACACAAUGUUGCUUGUUAUAUUCCGCCUCUACAUGAUAUGGAAAUCCUUUUUUCUAGAUUUCCAUGCUGUUCAAUUCAAUUUGUAAGGAGCCCUUUUCCCCUUUCUGACAUUUGACAGUGUCACAAGUCAGGGAAUGUUCGGAUUCUGAACUCAACAUCAACUUGUUGAAUUACCAUUUUUUAUGAGUUCAUUAAUGCAUAUUACUGUAUAUUAAAUAGGUCAUUUUCGCAAUGUUGGGAAUUUUACUUGUUAAUCUAUUAAGUUAGGGCACCUGCAACAUGGCCAGCACGAGGAAGAUUAUUAUUAUUUCUUUAAAUGAAGCUAAUUAAUUG